rfam:Glycine soja cultivar W05 scaffold5074_1, whole genome shotgun sequence.
CUCCAAUUGGAGAAUGACUAUCACGCGUCAUGUUUUAAUUGGAUGUCAAUUCCAUGAAAAAUGAAAUGUAUUGUUGUUGUUAUUGACCAAUCAAAACGUGACACGUGACAGACAUGAUUC